rnacentral:rRNA from 1 species
UAAGGAAUAUUGGUCAAUGGACGCAAGUCUGAACCAGCCAUGCCGCGUGAAGGAUUAAGGUCCUCUGGAUUGUAAACUUCUUUUAUCUGGGACGAAAAAAGGCGAUUCUUCGUCACUUGACGGUACCAGAUGAAUAAGCACCGGCUAACUCCGUGCCAGCAGCCGCGGUAAUACGGAGGGUGCAAGCGUUAUCCGGAUUCACUGGGUUUAAAGGGUGCGUAGGCGGGCAGGUAAGUCAGUGGUGAAACUCUGUGAUAACUCCAGAACUGCCAUUGAUACUAUCUGUCUUGAAUAUUGUGGAGGUAAGCGGAAUAUGUCAUGUAGCGGUGAAAUGCUUAGAUAUGACAUAGAACACCUAUUGCGAAGGCAGCUUACUACGCAUAUAUUGACGCUGAGGCACGAAAGCGUGGGGAUCAAACAGGAUUAGAUACCCUGGUAGUCCACGCCCUAAACGAUGGAUACUCGACAUACGCGAUACACUGUGUGUGUCUGAGCGAAAGCAUUAAGUAUCCCCACCUGGGAAGUACGACCGCAAGGUUGAAACUUAAAGGAAUUGACGGGGUCAUAGCUG